ensembl:lncRNA INTS4P1 integrator complex subunit 4 pseudogene 1
GGGCGGUGGCGGGGGUGAUGCAGCGGCCGCUGAGGGUGGCGCAGGGGCCCCGGCCAGCCCGGGGCUGCAGCAGUGCAGACAGCUCCAGAAGCUCAUCGGCAUCUCCAUUGGCAGCCUGCGCGGGCUGGGCACCAAGUGCGCUGUGUCCAACGACCUCACCGAGCAGGAGAUACGGACCCUGGAGCAUUGUCCCAAUUCCUUCUUCUAAUGAAGAAAUACGCUUAGUUGAUGAUGCGUUUGGAAAAAUUUGUCACAUGGUCAGUGAUGGCUCUUGGGUGGUUCAUGUUCAGGCAGCAAAACUGUUGGGCUCUAUGGAGCAAGUCAGUUCUCAUUUCUUGGAGCAGACCCUUGACAAGAAGCUGAUGUCAGAUCUGAGGAGGAAACGUACUGCACAUGAGCGUGCCAAGGAACUUUACAGUUCAGGGGAGUUUUCCAGUGGCAGAAAGUGGGAAGAUGAUGCUCCCAAGGAAGAAGUAGAUACCGGGGCUGUGAACUUGAUUGAGUCAGGAGCUUGUGGAGCUUUUGUUCAUGGGUUGGAAGAUGAGAUGUAUGAGGUUCGUAUUGCUGCUGUGGAGGCCCUCUGCAUGUUGGCCCAGUCUUCACCCUCUUUUGCUGAGAAGUGCCUUGAUUUCCUAGUUGACAUGUUCAACGAUGAAAUUGAGGAAGUACGUCUGCAGUCCAUACAUACCAUGAGAAAAAUCUCUAACAACAUCACCCUCCGAGAAGAUCAGCUUGACACUGUCCUGGCUGUGCUAGAGGAUUCAUCCAGAGAUAUUCGAGAGGCUCUUCAUGAACUCUUAUGCUGUACUAAUGUUUCAACCAAAGAAGGGAUUCAUCUUGCAUUGGUGGAGCUGCUGAAAAAUUUAACCAAGUACCCUACUGAUAGGGACUCCAUAUGGAAGUGCUUGAAGUUUCUGGGAAGUCGGCAUCCAACCCUGGUGCUUCCCUUGGUGCCAGAGCUUCUGAGCACCCACCCAUUUUUUGACACAGCUGAACCAGACAUGGAUGAUCCAGCUUAUAUUGCAGUUUUGGUACUUAUUUUCAAUGCUGCUAAAACCUGUCCAACAAUGCGAGCAUUGUUCUCAGGCACUAUGCCUACCUCCGAGACAGUCUUUCUCAUCUUGUUCCUGCCUUGAGGUUGCCAGGUAGAAAACUGGUGUCAUCAGCUGUUUCUCCCAGCAUCAUACCUCAAGAGGAUCCUUCGCAGCAGCUCCUGCAGCAGAGCCUUGAAGGAGUGUGUAGUCUUCAGCACUUGGACCCUCAGGGAGCCCAGGAGCUGCUGGAAUUCACCAUCAGGCCUUGCAGGAAAAGUCGUGGAAUGUAGCUGCCCCUUCGUAUUUGAAGCAGAGUGAUUUGGCCUCAGCAGCAGCGAAACAGACUUUACCCCUUAUUUGGGAUGUGUGAAAAAUUUUUACAGGAAGUAGACUUUUUUCAGAGGACACAUGAACCAUUAACAAGAAAAAUAUUUAAAUAAGAAACUCACCAAGCCAGGAGAAUAAUGAAUACCUGGAUGUGCCCCCUAGGAAUCUGGAUCUCUUCUCUUUUCCCCACCCUGCCCUCAACUCCCCUUACAUACAUACAGCCUGGAUCACAAGACCCAAGAAAACCAUUCCACCAGCUGCUGAGAGAAGAGCCACAAAAGGACCCAGAACUUCUCCAUGGCUACCUUAGAGCACCCUAAAAUGUGCUAACAGCCAUUGUUAGCAUUCAGGAGCUGUUUAUUCCCAUUUUCACACUACACUAAAGAAUUUUAAACAAUCACAAGAUAGACUGGCUGGAAGUUGGUGCUUGGAACAUCCCACGUCACCUAAAAGCACAGUGCUGCAAUCUCAGAAACCCCAGGCUCAGCCAGCAGAGAGAGGAGAAGCAGCUGGACAUUGGAGACUAUGAUUGGACAUUAGAGAGAAGGAGCUUGACUUCACAGAGAAAGCAUGAUGGAAUAAUUUCAGAGAAAAGUCUGGCCAGGGAUGACCAGACUUCAGGGGAAGAUAAUCUUGCUCAAUAUCCUUUUCUGCUCCCCUUCCUGCUGAGAGUCACUUUGAUUGGCAAUAAAAUAUCUCACAUUUACCAUCUUCAAUUUGUUCUUGCAACCUCAUUCCUCCUGGAUGCCAGACAAGAACUCAGGUGCCAUGAGUAUGGGUGCAAAAGGCUAUCACACUGUCCCUCCACUGAGCUGUUAACACUUAAGCUAUCCAUGGACAGCAAAGCUAAAAGGGCACUGUAAGAGUCCUUCUGGGGUUUCAGAAGUCAUGAGCAUCCCCCAGAUGCUGCCAUGGGGCCAGUACAGAGUUUGCUCCUGCCAGAGUCCAAAAAUGUCUCAGCUCCUGCACCCAGUCACCUGCAUGCUCCCCCUCCCACAAGUGGUGGAGCACAGUGGGCUGAGUGAGUGGAGUUUGCCCCUGCCAGCACCCGUGCACUCCAGUUCCCACCUGUGAAGGUGUCAGAGAGAUAUUCUGCUUAAAAAUCAGAGUGACUCCAUCUUAAAUAGCAGCUGGGUGAGAUAAGGCUGAGACCUACUGGGCUGCAUUCCCAGGAGGUUAGGCAUUCUAACCUUCUAUCAGGAUGAGAUAGAAGGCCAGCAUAAGAUAUAGGUCACGAAGACUCUGCUGAUAAAACAGGAUGUGGUUUAAAUAAAUGCCAGCCAGAACCCACCAAAACCAAGAUGGUGAUGCUCAUUCUCACUGCUCAUUAUAUGCCAGUAUAAUGCAUUUGCAUGCAAAAAGACUCUACCACCAGUGCCAUGACAGCUUACAGAUGCCAUGGCAAGAUCUGGAAGUUACCCUGUAGCCUCUAAAAUGGGGAAGAACCCUCAGUUCUGGAAAAUUUCUGCCCCUUUCCUGAAAAACUCAUGAAUAAUCUACCCUUUGUUUAGCAUAUAAUCAAGAAACAACUAUAAGUAUAGUCAAUCGAGCAGCCAAUCUCACCGCUCUGUCUAUGGAGUAGUCAUUCUUUUAUUUACAUCUCUAAUAAAAUUGCUUUCACUUU